AGCAGAUACCAUGGAGCUAUAGUCAUCGCUCAGAAGGCGCUGGCACGGUUGACACGUGGAAGUGCCUGCAGGGAGAAGGGUGGCAUCUAAAUAAUCAACUUGAGGUGUUCUGGACUGUCAAUACGUGUUGCCUGUUGCAUAACAUAGUAAUAUACAUGGAGGAGGAGCAUGGUGCGGGCAUGCCGAGCGAUCAGGAGCAGUAUACAAGCGGGAAAGUGCGUCAGAUAGCGGAUGAGGACGCCGUGAGGGUGAGGGAUGCACUCUCCCGGCACAUGAUGGAAUCUGGAGCCCACACAAUGGCUGCAGAGGAUGCACAAGAAGUAGUACCAGUAGCAUCCGGUUCAGGAGAUGAAAACAAGGAGCAAGAAGAGCGCCGUCGACAAGGAGCAGAUCGAGGAAAGGAGAAAGCGCAUGAUAGCUAGCUAGGGAGAUCAGAUCGUCCUCUCCACUGAAUUAAUUUGGUGGAAGGCUUUUCAAUCUUCACCCUGCUGCUUUGUUGCAUUAACUUGCACGCAUGAAUGCAGCCAAAGGCCAAAUGCUGGCCCUGUCAAAGUUGGAUCAACAGAUUGUUAUUAUCUUGGACAAAGACAAGUUUUUAUUUGUAUAUUUUGCAUCACUGGCUAUAAGCUUGUAUGUGUUGAUAGAAGGACAGUAGUGUAGCUGCAUGGAUACUAUUUGUGUGAUUUCUGUCCUCCAGCUGCUGCGACUUGAAGAAUUUCUGGCAGUGAGUGCUGAAUGUGUAUGAAAUGUGUUUGGGCAUCACUUAGUCAUAGCAGCUGUUAGGGUAAGUGUACGUGUGCGUUGUAGCAGCUGUCGCUAAUUGGGACAGCUGACACAUUACAAUGAUAUGAGGAACCUAGUUGUUUGUAAACUGUAAUGCACUAAAGCAGCUAGGGGCAAGUCCAGUGUGAAAGCUGCAGAUCCCUAAUUU